rnacentral:lncRNA from 1 species
GAGCAGUGAAAGUCACGCCUCCUCCUCCUGACAUCAUCAAGAGAGGCGGCCGACUCCACUGGCUGCAGGCUGCAGGAAGAGUGAGGUAAGUGGAAAAAUCUGAGUCCUCAGCCAGAGGCAGGGCCGGAGCCAGAGGCAGGGGAUUCAAAUUUUUCCUUUUUUUGCUGGAUGCGGGUGGCCUGGGGGGCAAUUGCCUCCUUGCCCCCUUCCCAGCCUGCCCCUGCUUGGAGUGUUCCUUUAACCAUCAUUAAAGGAGUUUGUUUCUGCUGACCUUUUGUUAAUGUUUUCUAUUUAAAUCUGUUACAUUUCAGGUAUUUGAAAUUUCCUAACAUGUUGGAACCAAAAUAAAUUGUAAAAUAUAAGCCACAAGAUUGAAGCUGCAAAUAGUACGGGGUCGGAGAAUUAUCCCAUUUAUGCUAUUUUGGCUUUUUUUCGAGCAAGUUUGAUUUCAGUUACAAAUAACUGUUUAGUAAACAAGGCAAAUUUACCCGUUGACGCUAAUGCCAGUUUAAUGAAGGAUUGUAUUUAACUGAUUUUAGCACAACUGGAUUGGUAACUAAAAGUUAGCUACUGGUUGUGCUAAACGAUUAUUUACAGAUUCUUUUAUUUUAAUUUACAUACUUUGUCAGUCAACACAUGGAAAUUAAGUAACCCAUGCAGUGCCAUAAAUAACAGUUUUAAUGUAGUUUCUGUCCUGUAAAUCUGUUCCCUAAUUGAGCAAAUACCAGGAAACUAUGACAACACUAAUUAGCCGAAGAGACUUCAGAGUGCUAGUUAAUGGCUGGGUAAUCUAAGACCUAGAGAUAUAAUAUAGUGAUAAAGAGAGAGAAACUAACUGUUCUGCUCUCACCGUGGAGCCAGAAGGGCUGUGGUAUGGGAUGGAUUCAUUCAGUCUAAAUUUUGGAACAAAAUAGUUUAAAACGUAGCACAAUAAUAAUGUAACAACAAUGAGGCACUGCUGGAAUAUAAACUGUAGGUUUCACUUUACUUUUCUUAUUUCUGCCUUGUAGUAUCAUUUUUGUUUCAAGUGAUAAUGAAGGGGUUCACGAUCCAUAUGUGUUUCUUGGUAGGUACUUAGUCAUAGUCUUUGUGGUGUUUGGUGUGCAGUGGGGGGGGGGGAGGAGUUUAGUUUGUGUGUGUGUGUGUGCGAGGGGUGCAGUGUGAGGCUGUGUGUGUAUGAAGGGUGCAGUGUGUAUGAAAGGUGCUGUGUGUGUGUGUGGUGCUGUGUGUGUGUGUGUCUGUGUGAAGGGUGCAGUGUGUGAGUGUAGUGUGUGUGUGUGUGUGGAUGAAGGGUGCAGUGUGUGAAGGGUGUAGUUAGUGUGUGUUUGGUGUGCAUUGGGGGUGAUGAGUGCAGUAUGUGUGUGAGGGGUGCAGUGUGUAAGAAAAGUGCAGUCUGUAUGAAAGGUGCAGUGUGCAUGUGUAUGUCUGUGUAAAGGGUGAAGUGUGUAAAGGGUGUAGUUAGUGUGUUUGGUGUGCAGUGGGGGGAAGAUGAAAGUAAUACAUAAAUAUGUUUGUUUUAAUUUUUUAAAAACAAAGCUAUACUUUAUAUCCUCCCUCCCUUCUAAUCUUUGCAUGUGGGGGUGGACAUAGAGGUGAAUCCCUUGAAUCCCUGAUGGUCAUAGUGGAGGUGAAUCCCUGGUGGUCGUAGUGGUGAGUUCACUGUCGCAGGAUCAGAGCAUUGCCAUGGUAACUGCGGCAAUUCUCCUACCUCGCAAGAGGAACCCGGCUGAGCUGCUAACUAGAGCUCCCACAGGUCCUCCUCUCCCUCCCCAGCCAGCGGCAGCAUGUCAGUGUCUGUGGGCUGAUGAGGGAGAUCUUUGAUCUCCCCGCCGGACCAUCAAGGCACACAGCAGGGCCGGCACUCCAAUAGUGAGGGCCCCACAUGGGCCGGCAGGGGAGAUCCUGUGAUCUUUCCUGCCGGCUUCAGCCCAUGGCCACCAGGCAUUUGCCCGAUGGCCAGUCCGGGCCUGGUUUGUAGGCUCUAGGGGGCCACCACAUUUUCUUAAACCACUCAAAAUGUUCUGUUACUAACCAGGGAGAUGGUGCCUAAAGACUUUUUGCACCAUAACCACUACAAAGCACUGCGGUUGUUGAAUAAGUGAAAAGUGCAUAGCUCUCCCACACAUACACCUGCUCAGCCAAGCACUGACAUUCCAACUCUGAGUGCAUAUAGUAUGCCUUUAGUCAGAUGACAAGCUUGUCUGCUUCUUAAUAGAAGCAUAGCAUGUUCUGUCCAAGUAGUUUUGUAAUUUAUUUUUCUUGGCAUGUUAUUUAGACACGAUUAAUUUGUAUGGCUGUGCUUUCUAUGGAUACACAUCAUAGACCCCAGCUGGGAAACAAGAGGAAAUGAAUAACUGUUACCAAGGAAUUCCAGUCUUUCUUCAGAAUUCAUAGUAUAGUAUCAGAUAGCAUGCUGACAUAGCAUUCUUAACCAUAU